rnacentral:rRNA from 1 species
GAUCGGCCCGCGUCUGAUUAGCUAGUUGGUGAGGUAACGGCUCACCAAGGCGACGAUCGGUAGCUGGUCUGAGAGGAUGACCACCCUCACUGGGACUGAGACACGGCCCAAACUCCUACGGGAGGCAGCAGUGGGGAAUAUUGGACAAUGGGCGCAAGCCUGAUCCAGCCAUGCCGCGUGGAUGAUGAAGGCCCUAGGGAUGUAAAGUCCUUUUAACGGGGAAGAUAAUGACGGUACCCGUAGAAUAAGCCCCGGCUAACUUCGUGCCAGCAGCCGCGGUAAUACGAAGGGGGCUAGCGUUGCUCGGAAUUACUGGGCGUAAAGCGCACGUAUGCGGCUUUCUAAGUCGGGGGUGAAAUCCUGGAACUCAACUCCAGAACUGCCCUUGAUACUGGAAAGCUCGAGUCCGGGAAAGUGAGUGGAACUGCGAAUGUAGAAGUGAAAUUCAUUAUAUAUUCACCAGAACCCCCGUGGCGAAAGCCGCUCCCCGGCCCCGGUACUGAACCUUAAGUGCCAAAGCCUGGGGAGCCAACAUGAUUUGAUUCCCCGGUAGUCCCACCCCCUUAAAAAUUGACGCCUACCCCUGGUAGGGUUUACUCGGCCAUGGGUCCAAUUAAAACCAAUAACCCUCCCCGCCCUG